GAUGAACGCUAGCGGCAGGCCUAAUACAUGCAAGUCGAACGGGAUCCAGAUCAAAGCUUGCUUUGGUCUGGUGAGAGUGGCGCACGGGUGCGUAACGCGUGAGCAACCUACCCUUGUCAGGGGGAUAGCCCGGCGAAAGUCGGAUUAAUACCGCAUGACAUCAUUGAGAGGCAUCUUUCGAUGAUCAAAGAUUUAUCGGACAAGGAUGGGCUCGCGUGACAUUAGCUAGUUGGUAAGGUAACGGCUUACCAAGGCUGCGAUGUCUAGGGGCUCUGAGAGGAGAAUCCCCCACACUGGUACUGAGACACGGACCAGACUCCUACGGGAGGCAGCAGUAAGGAAUAUUGGUCAAUGGACGGAAGUCUGAACCAGCCAUGCCGCGUGCAGGAAGACGGCACUAUGGGUUGUAAACUGCUUUUAUAAGGGAACAAACGUCGGUACGUGUACCGGUCUGAGUGUACCGUAAGAAUAAGGAGCGGCUAACUCCGUG
rnacentral:rRNA from 1 species